rnacentral:rRNA from 1 species
UGGGGAAUUUUGGACAAUGGGGGAAACCCUGAUCCAGCCAUCCCGCGUGUGCGAUGAAGGCCUUCGGGUUGUAAAGCACUUUUGGCAGGAAAGAAACGUCAUGGGUUAAUACCCCGUGAAACUGACGGUACCUGCAGAAUAAGCACCGGCUAACUACGUGCCAGCAGCCGCGGUAAUACGUAGGGUGCAAGCGUUAAUCGGAAUUACUGGGCGUAAAGCGUGCGCAGGCGGUUCGGAAAGAAAGAUGUGAAAUCCCAGAGCUCAACUUUGUAACUGCAUUUUUAACUACCGGGCUAGAGUGUGUCAGAGGGAGGUGGAAUUCCGCGUGUAGCAGUGAAAUGCGUAGAUAUGCGGAGGAACACCGAUGGCGAAGGCAGCCUCCUGGGAUAACACUGACGCUCAUGCACGAAAGCGUGGGGAGCAAACAGG